ensembl:lncRNA
CCCAUCCCUGAGCAAUGCUGGCCCCUGAACCCCAGGAGGUGAGGAGUUCCUCCUGUGGACACCCACAGCACUGGCCGCACUGGGAUCUGGUAUCUUGCUGGGCUCCCUGAGAGCAGAAGCUGCUUUAUUUCCCCUUGCAGCCCUUGUGCCUAGAUCCGGGCCUGGUGUAAAUAGGAGCUGAGGGAACAUGUGACCUCCUGGCACCACCGCAGCUUUGCCGUCAGUCUGGGCAGAUCCUUCACCACUGAACUACCAGGAAUCCCCUGCUUUAAAGGAUGUCUUCCCAGCAUCCCCAGUGACGAGGAGGAGAAUGUGAAGUCAGCUUCUGAGUGACAGCUGUCAGAGGACGGCAGGGGCUCUCCAUCUUCCAGAUGCCAGCAGUGGACGCACAAGCAGACUCAAGGUCCCGCAGCAGCUCCUGGGCCUUGGGAGGCCUAAGGACACUCGUCACAGGCCAAGGAGACCCACUGAUGUCCUUUGACAUCCUGUCCUUGCCCCCUAGCAGAUUCUUUUGUGGUGGGGUAACAUGGUAAAGAGCUGGGUUUUAAAAGAUAGGGCCAGCCUCCAAGGCAGUUUUGCUCUUUGACCCAAUGAAGUGAAGCUCUGGCGAGGCCUGUGGUUCCUUUGGCACUUGCAGCCCAGCCCAAGGACAGAAUUUCCUGAGCGGCUGGACCUUUCACUCAACGAAGACACUCCGGCCCCUGCUGAUCCACUCACACAGACAAGCCCCAUGGGACGGCAGUGUUGAUCUUUGGUGCGGGCCAGGUACCGACUAUUAAGAAGCCAGGACCAAAAGUUGUUAUGGAAACCAUUUUAAUACUAGAAAAGUUUUUAACCAAUUGCCCGAGGAAGCCGUAGGGCCUGGCCUACCUCCCACAGAACCAGGGGCCCCUGGGGACCCACUCACGGAGCCACAGCCCGUGCCCCUGCCUCUGCUUAGCAUGGCAGUGUGUUUGGUCCUUCGACUUCUUCCCUCUGCCCAGGAAACUGCAGAGCCACCGCCAAGGUGGCUUUUUCCCGUCUUGGGGUGUUCUGCCACAUCCCAUUGGGAAGGGUCUGCGGGGGAAGCAUCCCAGUUAGGGCACUCACUACACGUCAGGUUGUGCGAUUAUUUUCAUACAUAAUCUUGUUGCACUUGAACCAAUAAUUCUGUGAUGUGUUGGUAACUGUCUCCAUUUCACUAGUUGUGGGAAUUGGAACUCAGGGGGAGUGAAGUGACUUGGCUAAGGUCAUAUAACUAGUUAGUGACAAAGUCGAGAUUUCGAACCCAGGCAAUCUGGCUCCAGAGCCACUUUGUGCUUAAAGUAGGAACCAAAAUCGAGGGCAGUUCUGUUGCUAAAUAGUCACACUGAUUUAUAAAGUUCCCUUUGGAAGGAAAGUAACACAUAUGCAGUUGUAAAGACAAACUCUUAAAGCAACUUUCCUUCCAGCUUUUGGUCUGCAAAGAGAAGGCAUCGCGGGGUGGGUGCAUUACCCAGGAAGUGGGAUUGCCUGCCUGCCUGACUGCUGUAGCCAAGCAGGGUAACGUCCGUGCGUGAGUGAGUUUUUAACUUUGUGUUCCUUAGAGUUCCUCUGAAUCCUGCCACUCCCUUCCUCCACGGCGCUUUCCCUUCAGAAGCAAGAUCUGAGGGCGGAUGUGAAGGAAAGAGAGCGGUGGUUUGGGUUUGGCCAGUGGUUUUGUGAAAAAUGGGAGAGCAGAGGGCAAGGUCAUGAAAACAGCCUGCCUCUCUCGGGUGUUGUGAUUCUAAACUGAUAGCAUCUCUCCUGAGAAGAGGGUCCCCCCCGCCACAAGAGCACUGGCAGGCCUGGAAAGGCACAGACACACCCCGAAGGGAAUUUCUCCAGCCUCUGCUGAAGAGAAAGCUUCACUUUUGUGGAUGGUGCACAAACGACAAAUGCAGUUAGGAAGCAGCCACUGCUGAUCAUACUGUGCCCGGCAGCCCGGCCCGAGACCCAGGACGCCUCUCACAACAGCUCCGAGCAGCAGAGAUUGAGCUCAGUGCCCUUCAGUUUGGAAACAGGGAUCAUGAUAUUCACAAACCAUGUAACGCAUCACCCCACUCUGACAGUGUACUUGUCACAGUGUACUUC